CAAAGGCUCCGGAGGAAGCCACGGCCAACUCUGUGCCAGCAGCCGCGGUAAUACAGGGGCGGCAAGCGUUGUUCGGAAUUAUUGGGCGUAAAGAGCACGUAGGCGGCUAUGUAAGUCUGUUGUGAAAGCCUUCCGCUCAACGGAAGAACUGCAGCAGAUACUGCAUGGCUAGAGUGCGGGAGGGGAGAGUGGAACUUCUGGUGGAGCGGUGAAAUGCGUAGAUAUCAGAAGGAACGCCGGCGGCGAAAGCGACUCUCUGGCCCGUAACUGACGCUGAGUGUGCGAAGGCUAGGGGAGCAAACGGGAUUAGAUACCCCGGUAGUCCUAGCCGUAAA
rnacentral:rRNA from 1 species